rnacentral:miRNA from 1 species
AGGAGAGAGAAAGGUUUCU